UGAGAGAGAUUUUCUUAGUGGGAGGUCUACCAAUCUCAAACAAACCUGUCCUGAAGGCUGGCAGAAGUUUGAAUCCAGUUGGUACUUCCUGUCUACUGAGACUAAAACCUGGAAGGAGAGCAGAGAGGACUGUCUGGAGAGAGGAGCAGACCUGGUGAUCAUAAACAGUGAUAAGGAACAGACAUUUCUCUUCAACCUCAAGAAGAGAGUCUGGAUUGGUCUGACUGACUCUGUUAUUGAGGGGACCUGGAAAUGGGUGGACGGCACCCCACUGACCACAAGGUGAGAGAUGAUAACUAAUAUGUCAAUAAGGCUCCAUUCAACCUUUUCUAUACAUGUUAUUGUCAUUGAUGGCAUCAGUCAACAAAGUUAAUU